GAUGAACGCUGGCGGCGUGCCUAAUACAUGCAAGUCGAGCGAACAGACGAGGAGCUUGCUCCUCUGACGUUAGCGGCGGACGGGUGAGUAACACGUGGAUAACCUACCUAUAAGACUGGGAUAACUUCGGGAAACCGGAGCUAAUACCGGAUAAUAUAUUGAACCACAUGGUUCAAUAGUGAAAGACGGUUUUGCUGUCACUUAUAGAUGGAUCCGCGCCGCAUUAGCUAGUUGGUAAGGUAACGGCUUACCAAGGCGACGAUGCGUAGCCGACCUGAGAGGGUGAUCGGCCACACGGGAACUGAGACACGGUCCAGACUCCUACGGGAGGCAGCAGUAGGGAAUCUUCCGCAAUGGGCGAAAGCCUGACGGAGCAACGCCGCGUGAGUGAUGAAGGUCUUCGGAUCGUAAAACUCUGUUAUUAGGGAAGAACAAAUGUGUAAGUAACUAUGCACGUCUUGACGGUACCUAAUCAGAAAGCCACGGCUAACUACGUG
rnacentral:rRNA from 1 species